GAUCAAGGGGAGAGAACAUCGCGGCGUGCGGUGGCGGUAGGUUGCAGUGGAGCUACGGGUUAUGUUGUGAUGUGUUCCAAUUUCAAAUGUAUCGUGGCCUCAGUGAUUUCCUACAAUUUAUCUGUGAUAUCGUUCAAGCAAUUCACUUGCCAGGUGAGGUAACACAUCAUAACAAAUUAUGAAGCAGAAGUCUGUGGGCAGAGAAGGAUAAUUUAUGGGGCAAAAGAAGGCUGGUGGGCACCAGAGUUGAGCGGCCAUGGCGACUCCACAUUACAGCCUGCGAUGGAACAAUCAUCAGAACCAUAUCCUAAAUGCAUUUGAUACGCUGCUACAGAGCGAGACUUUGGUGGAUGUCACACUAGUGUGCGAGGAGACCAGCGUGCGAGCGCACAAAGUCGUCCUGUCUGCCUGCAGUCCUUACUUCCAGAGGAUAUUUUCAGAAAACCCUUGCAAGCAUCCAGUCAUUGUUUUAAAAGACCUCAGGGGUUGGGAAGUACAAGCAAUUGUGGAUUUUAUGUACAAAGGAGAAAUCAGUGUGGUACAAGAGCAACUUUCAUCUCUAAUAAAGGCUGCUGAAUCCUUACAGGUGAGAGGCCUAGCACAUACUGAACAACAAAUCCUGCCAGAAAAGGAACACCACCAGCAGCAGCAUCAACAUCCGCAGCAGCUGCACUCCACAUCCCAUUCUGCAGGAUUCUCUCCACCGCCACCAUUAUCGAGCCUCGAGAAACUGGGUCUGUAUGGAGCCCCGACUCCCACUGCACGCAACUUCUCUUCAUCUGAUCUAACAGUGGGGCUGGGAGCAGGAUUGCCUAUGUUGUCUCCUUUCUCGCCGUCCUCUAUACCAAACUACGAGCCGCCUCUCAAACUCCCGACGCUUCCCCACAUGCCACAUAUCUCCUUCAGCGACAACCCGCCGCCUCCGAACGACCACCGCACCUCGCCUCAGCCUCGAAGGAAACAGGCGCGACCCCGUCGACGAUCGGGCGACCAGUGUGGGGCGCAGGAUCUGACUAAGCCUCCGACAUCGCCGGUGACGGAAACAGCAGAGAACUUGUCCAUGAAGAAACCGGCACAUCAACAUCAACAACCAUACAACAAUAGCAGCAGUAACAAUAGCAACAAUAGUAAUAACAAUGUUAGCAGCAACGGAAAUAUCACGCCUGCCCCAACGCUUCCUCCUGCCCCUCCAGGAACGCCAGUUACAUCACCUCAUUCACUGCCACCUCCACCGCUAAAAUCUGAAAACGAAGAAUCUCAGCUGCCGGAGAAUGCGCACAUUGAUGUGCACACGCCAGACAGGGACCGAGAAAGGGAGCGAGCGGAGUUCUGUAACAGUACAGAAUCUUUAAGCCUGCCUCCGCCACCAAUGGACCCAACGCUCGAAAAUACUGGCUACCCGCAACUCCCGUCUGUAUCAGCUCUUACUAUGACACCUCCUCACAUUUUUUCGCUAGAUGCUCAGCUUGGUUUUUUCCCCAGCAUGGAGAGCUGUCGUAACCCUCUUCUGAAUGACAUUCCAGAACCCAGGAAUGAAAAUCACCACAUAAUUGGGAAGCGAAAAAGGAAGAUGGCUGUGGUUUCAGUGGGUCGACCAAAAGGGCAGCACAGUGCCCCACGAGGAGGUCCACCAAGGUCAUGGACCAACGCUGAACUAACAGAGGCACUGCAGCAAGUGUGGAACAAAAAGAUGACAACAUCGCAGGCAUCCCGCAUAUUUGGCAUUCCAUACAACAGUUUACUCAUGUACGUGCGUGGCAAAUACGGCAAAUCGCUCAAGUUGGAGCAGCUCAAGAAGGACUGCCUCGGAGGUCCCGGGGGUCCGCUCGAGUUGCUGGGACUGGGGCCCAUGGGGCCGGUACCAGGGAACAACAAUAACAACAACAACAAUGCCAGCAGCAAGUCUGGUGCAGGUGAUGAACUGUUAGUUCCACCGGGCUCAGAACAUGACUUGGUCUCGGUAGGUCAGGGUGGUUUCAAUCCGUACUCGCCUGCCAACUUCUAUCCUGACUUUGGUGCCUCGUUCCCAGUCCCUGUCAGCAUGAUCCACCUGUUACCCCAGUCCGAAAAGAACCGCGAGUUGUUUCCGCCUUCCAUGCAUCUCCCACUUGAAGUGUCCGCUUCUGGUAAAGAUGACAGCGGUGGAGGAAGACGAUCACGUGAGAACAAUGGUUCAUUGGAAGAGGAGCAUGAUGCAGUGCAGCCACAACAACAACAACAACAACCGCCCAAAGAGGACACCACUACACAGCAACUUGUUGAACAGAAUGGACAAAACUAGCAGAUGGUAAAAUUAAUAAAAAUAUCUAGUAGGACAAGAUUUAAAAAAUCUCGAAACAGAACCCUUAUCGUUUAGUGAACUGUGGCAUUGUUGUUUACCAGAGUAUCAGCCAUUUUGUGUGUGAUGAGGAGUCUACUGAAACUCCUAAUGGACAGUAAAUUUUAUAAGAAAAUCUUCAACAUAGAUUACAUUUUUAUACAGUGAUAUAUAUUAUUUGUAUACAUAAUGCAGUGAGCAUUUACCUCAGAAUUUUUCUAACUAGUACUUACAGAUAUUUGUAAUGGUUUACUUUAUCAACGGUUUGUUACAAAAUGUAAGAUGGAGAAACGAGACCAUCUCAAAUUAUGUUGACAAAAUGGAGGUUCUCUGGAAACAUCAAAAUUGUGCUCUCUUGCCAGAUCUAAAUGAAACUGUAUGUGAUUGUUAAAGUAUGGGUGCUGGUAGAACAAGGAUAGUCUAUGAGGGAAGUCCCCCCGCCCCCCCUCCCCCAUGGUAAGAGUUGUGAUGUAACUGAGAUAAAUUCGUUGAGGGCCGCUGAGAGGUCUUUUGUUGAUAUUAUUGCAUCGUGCUUCCUGUGUUCACAGCCAGAAAUGGACGGAUACUCAUUACUUGUCCACAAAUUUUGUAGUAUCCACAUUAUUGUUUCUUGUACAUGGUUGUUCAUCGUUUACUUUACAAGACUGACUUCAAAUGCCAAUGUUCCACAUAUUUAUAUUUAAUUAUAAUUAAUACAUCCUAAUUAAGUUAACUUCUUAACCAACACCAACAGUUCCUUCAGAGAUUUAUACCAAAUAAUGCAUAAUUUUAAGUUUGAAGAUAAAUAAUAAAAGAUGAAUUUUUAUAACCAACAGAGUAUUAUAUCCACGGUUCAGAGAUAAGACGAUAGAAAAUACAUUUUUUAUAUUAAUUUUUUCGAACUGAUUAUUGAAACAAAGUCUGUUACAUGAAGUUUGAAGGCACAUAAGGACAAAUGUGUGCCAAAUGUGAUUUUUUUGGAACAAAUCGUGCAUGAAAGGGAACCAACGUAAAGAUUAGCAAAGUACGAUUCGUUGUAACAAAUAACCGUAGUUGUGAUAUGAACACAUGUAAGAAGAAUGAUAUGUGCAUUGUAUCGUGAUGUUAAGUGUACAUGUUGUCGGUUGUUAUUCAGUUGAGACAGCGCAAUUUGAUGUUAAAAUGUACCAUGUGGUCCUUCCUCUUAUUAUGCAAGAUACUGGUAAAACCAUGCAAAAGGUAUGCAGUUAUGGCAGAUUUAGAGGGCCCAAGAUGUUUCAAUUUGCACUGUGCAAUUUGCCUCAAAGAUAAAAAUUUUGUGACUGGUAAAGUUACAAUGCAACUUGAUGCACUUCACUCUCAUACGGAUCUAAAUUUGGCAUGGCCGUUCUGAAAUGAAUGUGAAAUCGGUUAACAUUUGUAAGAAUAUAUUCUGGAGAACUCACACCCCCACUGAUGCAAAUCUCUAGGAGUUCUAGUGUGUAGAAAAACACAUAUGUUAAAACUACGUGCACACAUGUACACAGACACUUGCAAAUCAUUUUACUACCUUGAUCCGUAAUGUAUAUUUGUUUUUUGGUGUUCCGUGUCGCAAAAUUAAUGACAAAAUUAAUUGUCCUAGAGAAUAGUUUUAGGAUUUUUGUUUUCUGUGACAAGAAAACAUGGCCAUCGUUACCGAUUGCUCUAGACAUUGCUUUCUAAUGCCUGCCUCUAAUCUGCUGACUAGUUCUUAAACACAUCUUGAAAAUCAUAAAUGAAAAAUUGUUUGAAACAGGAAAAUUAUGUAAGACGGUUCUAAAACCGGUAUGAAAGUCAUUACCGUAUAGUUAUCACAGGAGCAGAUUUAAUCAGUAUCUGUAUUUUUUAAUAGUAUUUUUGUAUUUGUUCCUAACAAUAAAUUUUAAAGAAGGAAACAAAUAGCAGAUAAAUCCUACAGAUAUCUUUACUGUUAGCAGUGAUUCAGGGAACUGGCAAAUACACACACACACACACACACGCAUGUAAUAGGAGUCCCACGUUCGGACACGAGAGGAAAACUGUUCUGCAAACUCUUUGGAGCCAGCUCCUAUUUUACAAAUUAUACUAGCAUUUUGAUUGAGCAGAUAGGUGCAUAAUUAAAUAAUGUGGUAAUGUAAUUAAUAUUUCAUUCUUUGUUUAUAAGUUCCUAUGAACAUACUAGGGCUGUUCACUAACUAAAUUCUGAGGAUGUGCUGCAUUAUUAUUUAUUACUUCGACAUAGAUGUUCAAAAUAACAAGGGUAAUGAACAAACCCUGGCUUUGUUCUGUAAUCGCAAGAGCAACUGAUACACCGCCUGUUAAGACUCACUUGGAGACGAAACCAGUGCGCCUUAAUUUUUACUACAUCAUGACGUUAGAUUUGGUGAGGUGGAGAUCAGUAGGCACAAGCUUCAGGUUGUGUGGUGGAUGGACAGGACAUUUCCAGCAAAACUGCUUCCAUAGGCAUGUGUCAGUGGCACGCAGUCUGCCUUUCGCCAUUGCCCUGUGGUCCAUGAACUCAAGAAGAAUGCCAUGGGUGUCAGGACCACAUUGACUCCGUACUACAAGGUCUUAAAGUUACUUUCUGUGGGGAAUUGGAAUGUUUCAACCCCAUAAAUGCACCAUUCAGUGUGGCAGUAAAGAACUAUGAGAAUAGAGGAAGGGGUUUUUGUCGACUUUCUGAAUACACGCAGUAUUCUUCUCCUUUAUUUCGUGGACCAUGGGGCAACAGUGAAUUGAGACUACUAAUGCACAGCACUGGCACCUGAAGGGAGCCAUCCAGAUGAAAUGCCAUGGCUUAUUCAAACAAUAAGUGAUCCUUCUCCAUGGUUAUGCCCACACAGCGAGAGUCACAAUGCUACUCCUGCAGAUGCUUUGUCCAUCCAACAUUCAGAAUGAACCUCACACCUUGUGACUUCCACCUCAUCAGAUCAUUGAACUUUGAAGGAAAACAUUUUUGACGUGAUGAUAAGGUGAUUUCUUCUCUCUCUUUUUUCUGUGGGAAUCAAAUAAGUGGUGUAUCACAGGGACAGAUGUCUCUGUUGCUCUAGCAAUUACACGAAGAAAUAAAUGAAAUGCCCGUUAUUCGUAGUUUGACUGGAAGCCCUUUUAGAGAUAACAGAUGCGAGUGUAGAAUACCCCAAAAUUUACUUGUUGAACACCCUACUAUGAACAAAAAUUAUGUUGUGUUAACAUUUGCAUAUAUAAUAAUCCUUUUCUUUAGCUUUGUCCCUUAAACAUGAUAAGACCACUGUGCGUCUUUCAAAUUGCUUGGACUUUCAGUACUACUAUCCUAACACAGAAACAAUGAAUUAAAAUUACAUGAUUCUGCAAAUGUUAAGUAGAUUCUUCUAGUUACUUUAUUCUGCGAAAAAUUCCUAUCAUAUGUCUGACUAAAGAGUUAUUUGUUGUUAAUGUGUUUUUUAUUUAAAUAGUAUGCUGGUAUAUUACGUAUAUCUAAAAUUAUAUAGGUUGUAAAAUACAUUAUAAUUUGAAAUAACAAAGGAAGAGUAUCACAACCCCCACAAUUUUAAAGCUUAAAGGUUAAACUUGAAAAACACUGCUGAAAAAUUUUUUUUUAUCAAAUAUUUCGGUUCUCUCACAUCACUUUUAUGCAGCAUGACGUGAAAUUGUUCCACUGCUUACUGGAUAUUUUAGACGAAAAACAGAGAAUCAAAUAUUCUGCACAGCCAGAAGUAUAAGCAGGUGUAGAAUAAUAUUAAUAGACUUCAGAAUGACGUAGGUCAGAUUUUCUGUUGUGAUCCCUUCCGAGAUAUAAUUUUUUUUUUUCCAAUAUUGAAACCUCGUGAUAUAAUUUAUAAAAAAGAUUUUUACAACUGUCCUUACACAAGUUGUUUGUUAUACUCAUAUGUUUAUUUCUACAAUUGUGAAGUUAACAAAGUGAGUGUGAGUGAUUUGCACCCAGAGAUCUUAGCCAUUUGCAAUAUGAAGCUCUUUAUAACAUUGCUACUUUAUGUGAUAGAUUGAUACACUGAUGGGAUAGGUUCAUGUAACACCAGUGUCCAUAAAGACUGAAUGCCAUCGAAGUAGGUGCAAUAAAUACUUACAAAGUUGCGCACAUGUACAUACAUGCAAAUGCUAAUGGAGUGAUAUAUCAACAACUUUGUAUGCUUUUAUGUGAACGGACUUUCAGUUUGUUGAUAUAAGACGUUCAUUGGUCUGGCGAGGGGUUAAAGUAUGAAAAAUGGGUACACUGCUUAAUAGCUUAAUAUAUUAUCUGUCCUGGAAAGUUCAGGGUUGAAUAUUUAAACAAUAAUUAAUAACAAUAUAAUUCAGGACAAUGAUGCUCGUAUUUUCAUACCAUAAAGAAGUUUUUGUCUUCUGUUAAGGCACUUGUAAAUACAUAAUCUAGAUCUUUUACAAAAACAGAUGAAAGAAGUGCUGUACAAAUCAUUGUACUGUAGUUGGUUAAGUGUUUCUGUUACAUUUGAUUUGAUUUUUUGUUUUGCUUUGGCUAAAAUUAGGGUUGGUGAUGAUGUUUGAUGUAUAAAAUAUGUUUAAAAAAUAGGUAUGUGAUCAAAUUUGGUGUUACAAAAAGAACAAAAAACAAAUGUGUACCGUGAAUCAUGCCCCAACUACUACUGUUAAUGGACUUUUUUGGAAAAGCAGCUGUUAACGUAUAUGCACGACUCUCCGUACAUCCUCAUAACAGGCUGUUUUCCCGAGUAUAUAUUGACGAAGCGGGGACGAAUCUUAUUGCUUAUGUUCUGUGUAGAAUGAUGUACCAGAUUCUCAUUUAAUAUUUAUGCUAUUAUUUGGUAACCUUUUUCCACAGCGAGUAUAAAUAUAUAUUUUUUUUAAGAAAAUAUUUUUAACACAAAUAGUAGUUUAACAGGAAGCUUAAGACACUUUCUAUCACAGAAUAGUAGAACGCUACAAAGCACAAACUUAAAGCGAUACUUGUCUGUACUGUUUUAGACAGAACUUUCAUCCCCUACACACAGCUAUACAGAGAUUUUCGUUUGUUCCCCUCCUCCUCUUCCAUAAUAAUUGCAGGGUAAUGUCCCUUGUUCAGGGACAGCUUUUCGUACACUCUUGUUAUUUCAUGCGACACACUAUGUAC